rnacentral:rRNA from 1 species
AUUGAACGCUGGCGGCACGCUUAACACAUGCAAGUCGAGCGGUAACAUGGUCUGUAGCAAUACAGGUUGAUGACGAGCGGCGGACGGGUGAGUAAGACGUAGGAACCUGCCCAAAAGAGGGGGACAACCAAGGGAAACGUUGGCUAAUACCGCGUAAUCUCGAAAGAGGAAAGUUGCCCGCAAGGGUGAUGCUUUUGGAGGGGCCUGCGUCCGAUUAGCUAGUUGGUGAGGUAAUGGCUCACCAAGGCGAUGAUCGGUAACUGGUCUGAGAGGACGACCAGUCACACUGGGACUGAGACACGGCCCAGACUCCUACGGGAGGCAGCAGUGGGGAAUCUUGGACAAUGGGGGCAACCCUGAUCCAGCGAUGCCGCGUGGGUGAAGAAGGCCUUCGGGUUGUAAAGCCCUUUAGGUUGGGACGAAGUGUGAGGUGCUAAUACCAUCUUGCAUUGACGGUACCGACAGAAUAAGCACCGGCAAACUCUGUGCCAGCAGCAGCCGCGG